UACGGGGGGAGCAAGCGUUGUUCGGAUUUACUGGGCGUAAAGGGCGCGUAGGCGGCCACCGCAAGUCGACUGUGAAAUCUCCGGGCUUAACCCGGAAAGGUCAGCCGAUACUGCGGGGCUAGAGUGCAGAAGGGGCAACUGGAAUUCUCGGUGUAGCGGUGAAAUGCGUAGAUAUCGAGAGGAACACCUGCGGCGAAGGCGGGUUGCUGGGCUGACACUGACGCUGAGGCGCGAAAGCUAGGGGAGCGAAUGGG
rnacentral:rRNA from 1 species